rnacentral:tRNA from 9 species
GUCCCCUUAGUUAAAUGGAUAUAACAAGCCCCUCCUAAGGGCUAAUUGCAGGUUCGAUCCCUGCAGGGGACGCCA